rnacentral:tRNA from 1 species
GCCCACGUAGCUCAGUUGGCAGAGCACGUCCUUGGUAAGGACGAGGUCUCCGGUUCGAGCCCGGACGUGGGCUCCA